rnacentral:rRNA from 1 species
UACGAAGGGGGCUAGCGUUGCUCGGAAUCACUGGGCGUAAAGGGCUCGUAGGCGGUUUGUCGCGUCGGGAGUGAAAACCCAUGGCUUAACCGUGGGCUUGCAGCCGAUACGGGCAGGCUAGAGUUCGGUAGGGGAGACUGGAAUUCCUGGUGUAGCGGUGAAAUGCGCAGAUAUCAGGAGGAACACCGGUGGCGAAGGCGGGUCUCUGGGCCGAUACUGACGCUGAGGAGCGAAAGCGUGGGGGAGCGAACAGG